UCAGCCGUUUCUUCUGCCAUUGUCAUUGUCUUUCCCAACCGGUGAAACAGCGCCCCCCUUGUUUGGCUUGUCAUGUUGACAGUGGUGAUGCUUGGUACUGCACCCCCUCAGUAGAGGCAAUCAGACUGGGGCCGGCUGCAAGGGACAUCCUUUGAUUACUGAAAAGUUAAAUCAGUCCAUUUUAAGCGGUCGCUGUGAACUCUUAUUGAAACUGUGCUGAAACUUGGCAACAACUGUGAAGUUAAGUCGGUCAGAAAAAAAAAAUACGCUGAGUUAGUAAGAAUAUUCAAACAAAAUAAUUAGCUAUUUUCCGAGCAUUGAUUAUCCUUAUUGUACCUUGUUUAGCUAGCAGCAGUGGAGGCGCUAACAAAACAUAAUUAGCAUCACAGCAAAACAGGUGCUGGCACAUGGAUGUUGGCCACCCCACCUCCUAGAAGGAGGAAGGAAAGUCUCCUCAGAUAAGGGUUGUUCCUGUCGCUGAUACUGCCAAAAAUGGUGGAUUGUGUAAUCAGGUGUGUUUGACGAAACAAUGGAAUGUUUUCCAGCUGUGUUUGCCGCGACAGAACCAAGGUGAGCCUUGUUUUAGGUGGUUAAAUUUUGCUUUGCAUCUGGACUCCAUUAACUGCAGUACAAAGCUGAGCAUCUGGGCUGGAGCGGCUCUCUCCUUCUCCCAACUGAGGCUGCACUUACCGGUAACUACGUGUCCAGAGAGGAACAUCAAAGCUGCUGAUAAGCUCGACCCUUAGAGGGAACAAGGCUGUUCCGCCCUCCUCAUCCCGUUCCAAUUAGUGCGGAGGUUUCUGAUUAAAAACACCAGGUAAGCCAGGAUUUCCGGGGAAACCAUUCCUGCCUGCAGGGCCCGGCUCUCCGCGGGGUCCCUGCCUACCAGGUGCUCCAGGGGGCCCUGCAGGGCCGGGGCUGUUGCUGCGGUACAUGCCGUUGGGGAUCUGGUUAAGUAACGUGUUGACACGAGUCAUUUGUGCUGCAGCAACAGAGGAGGAGAAAGAAGAGAAGAACCCUGGAUAUCCACAGUUGGACCGCAGCUCCUCGUAUAUUUUCAGAUAAAACAACUUACGUUAAGAGGAGGAUGUAGCGGCUGACUGCAGGCCAACACUUAAAACCAGCGUUGUUAAUCAAGAGCUGCACUUACUUUCUGUCCAGGUAAGCCAGAGUCACCGGCAUCUCCCUUUGGUCCAGGACGGCCCUGAAGAGAGAACACAUCAACAUGAAUCAACAGAACAUUUCUGUGACCCACACAUCAGUAGCAUGUCCUGCCAGUGGUGUUAUCUCAGCCAAUAGACACAGUCAGAUGAAGCUGUGAGACUUUACAGAUGCAGUGAUGGAUAAAGAAGUGUUCAGCUUGUUGUUGUUUUGAGAAAUGGAAGCAAAAACAAAACUUCUCACCUGUUUAGGGUUUUAUUAAUAUUGGCUCACAUUUUAUGUCUUCCUUUGCAUCAUGCUUUGUGUUUAUUGACUAUUUUGUUCAUGUUAUUUUAAAGUAUUAAGUGGUGUUUUUGUAUUAUACAUCUUUGGAUCUUGGUGCAGAUUUGUGUUUUUUAAGUUCUUCCUUUCUAACAUUGUUACAAAACGGCUUCUAAUUUCUAGUUUAAUAGUUUGAAAGAGGCUGAGCAAAUACAUGGGUCUGAAAUAAAGUUCUAUGCAACUGAAA